rnacentral:rRNA from 1 species
UACGAGGGGUCCAAGCGUUGUUCGGAAUCAUUGGGCGUAAAGCGGGUGUAGGUGGCUUUGUAAGUCAGGAGUGAAAGCCCUAGGCUCAACCUAGGAAGUGCUUUUGAGACUGCAUCGCUAGAAUUGUGGAGAGGUAAGUGGAAUUCCGAGUGUAGAGGUGAAAUUCGUAGAUAUUCGGAAGAACACCAGUGGCGAAGGCGACUUACUGGACACAUAUUGACGCUGAGGUGCGAAAGCGUGGGGAGCAAACAGG